rnacentral:rRNA from 1 species
GACUGAGACACGGUCCAAACUCCUACGGGAGGCAGCAGUGAGGAAUAUUGGUCAAUGGACGGAAGUCUGAACCAGCCAAGUAGCGUGCAGGAUGACGGCCCUAUGGGUUGUAAACUGCCUUUAUAUAGGAUAAAGUUGGGACGUGUCCCCGUUUGUAGGUACUAUAUGAAUAAGGACGGCUAAUUCCGUGCCAGCAGCCGCGGUAAUACGGAAGGUCCAGGCGUAUCCGGAUUUAUUGGUUUAAGGGACUGCAGGCUGAUGAUUAAGCGUGACGUGAAAUGAGCCGCUCAACGGCUGACCGCGUCGCGAACUGGUUAUCUUGAGUGAGUUGUGUUGGCGGAAUUCGUGGUGUAGCGGUGAAAUGCUUAGAUAUCACGAAGACUCCGAUUGCGAGGCAGCCAACAAGGCCUUUACUGAUGCUAAAGCUCGAAGUGCGGGUAUCGAACAGGAUUAGAUACCCUGGUAGUCCGCACGACAAACGAUGGAUGCCCGCUGUUUCGGAUAUACUGUGAGCGGCCAAGAGAAAUCGUUAAGCAUCCCACCUGGGGAGUACGCCGGCAACGGUGAAACUCACCGGAAUUGACGGGGGCCGCACAAGCGGAGCUACAUGUGGUUUAAUUCGAUGAUACGCGAGGAAC